rnacentral:rRNA from 1 species
UACGUAGGGGGCAAGCGUUGUCCGGAUUUAUUGGGCGUAAAGAGCGUGUAGGCGGCCAGGUAGGUCGGUUGUGAAAACUGGAGGCUCAACCUUCAGACGUCGACCGAAACCAUUUGGCUAGAGUCCGGAAGAGGAGAAUGGAAUUCCUGGUGUAGCGGUGAAAUGCGCAGAUAUCAGGAAGAACACCCGUGGCGAAAGCGGUUCUCUGGGACGGUACUGACGCUGAGACGCGAAAGCGUGGGGAGCGAACAGGAUUAGAAACCCUGGUAGU